UUUUUUUUUUUUUUUUUUACCUUUUUGCCCAAGAGGUAAAAAAGAAUUACGAGAGAGAGAGAGAGAGAGAGAGAGAGAUUUGUUGUGAACUUGUAGAAUGUUUUGGCAAGAAGCUGGGCUUUUUUACUGCAAUAGGAAAGAAGCUGGGCCCAAAACCCCCGAAAACAAAGGAAGAAGUUAAAGAUAAUACAAAAUAAUAGUAUUGGAAAGAGGAAGCGUAAUGGGUGGCCCAACAGUGAAUGCACAAUUGUUCGUGGAUCUAGUCGGAAGUGAACGCUUCCCUGCUCGCCAAGGCAAGAGAAAACGUUACCCUAGGGGCCAGGAGGAAAUUAUUACUCCUAUGAAAACUAGGAGAUUAGUCAAUUCAUAUAAUAUUAACAAUUUUCUUCCUCGAUGGUCUGAUAAGUUAUGGAACCCUUUUUCUUGGGUUAAACGUGUGACUUAUACUACUUUUAGUUUAGUGUAAACCCGUCUGACAAAUUAUGUUGUUAGACUUUUAAAUGAAAAUUAUGAGACAUGUUUUUAGAUGAUGAUUGAUAGUUUGAACAAAAAAAAAAAAAAAAAACUAUUACAUUAAAAAGAUUUUAAAAUUUUUGUUCUACAACUUUAUUUUUGGUCUGAUAGUGUACAUCUGAAAUUUUGUGUUCGAUUUUCUCGCUCUAAUUCACUCGUAUCAAAAGAAGGACAUCCCUAACCGUAAAUAAAAGAUAAAAUAAAAGAGCUGCUCAACUGAUACUUUGUAUUUCUUCUUGGAUUGGAUCAUUGAAGACGGAGGUAGAGCAGUCUUGUUUGUGAGGGACCAUGAAAGAGUUACUGGGGCUUGCAUCUUCUGUGCAGUUUUUACUGUCACCCUCAGCGUGGGAAUGGCUGCUGCUUUCAACUUCUCCCUUUUGGUUUGAGACUUGGACUUGGUCUUGGGGUUGCUUGUUAACCUUCAUCCUAUGUUUAAUUAAUCAAGUGGAACAAGGGUGAAAUAAGUAAUUAAGCAUCAUAAAAAAAAAAGAUAAAAUGAGAAAAAUUCAGGUGUAAAUGAGGAUAUUUUCUAUCUCUAUUUGUCACUCAUCGUUUGAAUAAUGAGAUACAAAGACAAGAUUAUAUCCCCAUUUACAUAUCAGAAUCUUGUCAAGAAAAAUUUGGGUAUAACUAGGGAUCUAUUUCGUAUUUAUCUCACUUAUGAUAUUUAUGUUUAGUAGUUGAAUGCAUAGACGUAAAUAUAUUCUUAGUUACGUGUAAGAAUCUCGUCAGACAUACGUCAUCGAAGUAAAAAUUUUUGAAUGUAAUCAGAGCUAUUUUAGUCUCUGUCUCACUCAUCACACAUGAAUGGUGAGAGACAAAGACAAAAAUAUACUCCCGGUUACAUGUCAGAAUCUCACACGAUUUACUUCAAUAAAAAAAACUUGAUAAAUAAAUUAAAAAAAGUGUAUAACACUCUUACCUUCGCCUAACCUUUAUCUGCACCAGAUAGAGCUUAAACUGAACAUCGUCCAGGAAUUGGAAAUAUGCAUAUCUCCAUGUCCUCUUGAGAAGCAAAGGGCAGCAGAAUCCCAAGAACCCUACAACGAAACCGAGCACAACGGAUAACCCAAUCCAUAGACUUUCGUCGUCCAAAUCCUGGCUUUUCUUAUUCUCUCCAUCAUUCCCAUUACUUGACAAGCACUUCGGAAGUGGGGGGCCGCAAAGUUUUGGGUUCCCUUCGAAUGCAGAGGCGUUGAAGCUUUGUAGCUGCGUGCCGGUCGGUAUUGAUCCUUCAAGAUUAUUGUACGAGACAUUGAAAGAAUUCAAGAAACUAAGGCUUGCCAAUGACAGUGGGAUCUUUCCGGAAAAAUGGUUCAUGGAAAGGUCUAAUUCCUCCAAGUUCUUGAGGUUGGAUAUUUGCUCUGGGAUUUCGCCCAAAAAGUUGUUCAUGUUGAGAUCCAGCUUUUGUAUCAGCUGCAGCUGGCCUAUCUCAAUGGGAAUUCUCCCACUAAUGCUGUUGUUCUUCAAGUCGAUCACGCGAGGAAAGUAAGACAACUUGUACUGCAUAAAUGUUCUGUUGGUUGAGGUGUAGAUAGGCAGUUCGAGAACAUCAUCGUCUGCUUGACGAGAAGUUCCUUCGGAUAACAACAUGGGAAGUGUACAGAGUUCCCUUGGAAAUUCACCCGAAAUUCGAUUGGCUCCCAAUCCUAAAACAAAGAGCCUUGGAAGAGCCCCCAGCCAACUAGGAAUCGACCCAGUGAUUCUGUUAAAAUUCAGAAUCAAGAUCCCUAGCUUCUUGAGCUUCGAUAACCAUUGAGGUAUUUCGCCGUUGAGCUGACAGUUACUCAAAUCUAGCAUUUGAAGAUUUUGGAACCCGUCGAAAUUAGCCAUUGCUUCAUCACUUGGAAUUUUCUCUCCAUAAAAAGUUGUCGAAAGGAUGAGUACCUUGAGACUUUUGCAUCGCAUUAGUAUCCUCAUUGCCCCCGUGAUGUUUGUCAAUCGGCUGUAGCUGAGGGAGAGGAAGGACAAGGAUUUCAGUGAAAGAAUCUCGGGUUGUAUCUGUCCCUCUAGAUUGUUUUUGCUCACUCGAAUUGCUUUCGGGGACUUGCAUGAGUAAAGGGUUGUUGGCAAGAAACCGGUGAAGUUGUUAUGGCCAAGAUCAAGUAUUGUUAGUUUAGUAAGAUUGGAGAAAUUAAGGGUGGAGAUGUUUCCUUCAAAAAGGUUGAUUCCGAGAUUCAGUUUGAUAAGGUUUGUGCAGUUCAUCAAGGAUGGGGGCAGAGAGCCUUUUAGACUGUUAAAUUGAAGGAACAUGUGUUGUAAUUUGGACAGCUUACCAAUGUUUACAGGGAGAAAACCGCUCAAUCCGUUGGACUGGAGGUCAAGGAAUGCAAGGUUGGUGAGGUUGACAAUUCUUUUGCUUAUGGCACCUUGUAGCGAAUUGCGAGGCAACGCAAUUUCUUGAAGUGUGGUAGCAUUGUAGAUGUCAUCUGGAAGUAGUCCCGAGAGGUUGUUGUAACCAGCUCGAAACACCUGUAGUUUGGAACACGCACCUAGUCCGCGAGAAAUAUUGCCACUGAAUCCAUUGAGGGAGAAAUCGAAUAGUCUAAUUGAGGGAGACAAAUGAAGACAAAUGGAGGACGGGAUGGACCCCGAGAAGCUGUUGUUCGUGACGUUGAAACUAGUCAUAUUCGAAGCAUGUCCGAAGAAUAAGGACGGAAUUUCUCCAUGGAAGUGAUUGCUGGACAAAUCAACAAUCUGUACAUUACUUGGAAGCUGAGAAAGUGAGAGCUCUCCAGAGAGAAGGUUAUAGCUCAAAUCGAGGAUCUCAAGGCGAUUCAAGGACAAGAAGAAUCUGGCUUCGAGUGAACCAUAAAGUGAGUUGUGGGAGAGAUUGAGGUGUGUGAGAUGGGUGAGAUUUCCAAGUGAUGUGGGAGAAAUAAUACCCCCAUUGAGGCCUUUGGAUGGUAACUGCAAUCGCGUGAUCCAAAGGUCCUGAUUACAAGUGAUGCCUUCCCACUGGCAACAAUCAACGGAAUCAGUAGUCCAGUUCAAUGGAGGAGAAGACAGAGAGCGAGAGAAGGUGGUGAGAGCGCUGCGUUCGCUUGGAUCGCAAGCAUCAUUCGUAGAUAUAAUGGAAUUGAAUAUGAGGAAGAAGAGGAAGAAGAGGAAGCCAUGAGAGAUUGAAUGAUCCAUCUUAGGUUAAGAUUCUCACAGGUUUGUUUAUAUAUAUAUAUAAUACGCAUAUAGACGUAAACAUACAGUGGUUCGUUUGGAUGUGUUUUUAAGAUGACUGAAAGUGAUUUUAGUGAAAAUAUUUUUAGAACAAAUCCUUAGUAAAAAUGCAAGUAAAUUCUAGAAAAACACUUAAAGUGUUUUUGGAAUCUAAAAAUAUUUUCUCUAAAAACGUUUUCAGUCAUUUUAAAAGUACAUUCAAACGAGCCAUAAGUCAAAUGUGCACCAUUUUGUGCAGUAUAUACAUCUUUUGGAAGCCAUGACAGUUACAUAUGAACAUUGUUAACUUGCAACUUGCAAGCUUUUCAAUGGAUCAAUAUAUAAUAUUUGUCUGCAAUUUCUCAAUAUCCUCGAGGGAAGAGAUCAUCUUCGAAUCAUUUCCUCCUAAUCUAUCAAAUCAGAGGAUCUGGACAAUUGAAAUUUGAUCUAACGACUACAAAUGGUCCCUCCUAAUCUACCAAAUCAGAGGAUCAUGACUAUUGAAAUUUGAUCUAACGGCUACAAAUAAGGGCCCACUUUAAAAUGACUUUUCCUAAUUUAGUGGAUUAAAAAUAAAGGAUCCGAAGAGGAUCUCUUUCCAUCUUCAAGGUAAAGAUUCUUUUAUGUGUUAAUCUAUGGAUUUGAAGAGAUUUGGUUUCGUUUUAUUUUGACUUUAGUAGUAAACAACAAACAAAAGACUUCAAAGAGUCCCACUUACAGGGAAUUAAAUAAUUUUGCAUGUUGAUUAAAUUAAGAAAGGGAAGAAUGUAAUUAGGUAAUGGUUUGAAUUCUUGUGCUCAUUGUCUGAAUUUCUCAGUCUUUGCUUUAUAGAGAUUUGAGUGAUAUGGGACGUCACUAACAAUGGAGGGUCUAAUCAUGGGUUGGCAGCAACGUAAUAGAAGGUUUACGGAUCAGGAUCAUCUCCUGAGCUAAGGGUGUGAGAAUCUUCCUGAGCAAGCUUAUCAGAUCGUUGAAAUUUUAUCUAACGGUUACAAAUAGGAGGCCCCUCUAAAAGUUAUAAUAAUUGUAACAGUUGGAUAAAAUUUCAACAGCCCAAUAGGCUUGCUUAGGUAGUUCCUUACCCUUAGCUCAGGAGAUGAUCCUAAUCCGAAGGUUUACACUGACUUUUCGCUCGUGCUUUUAAAAGUGCUUUGAGUAUGAAGUAGAAGCACUUUAAUCACUUUGACAAUUUUUAGAUGCAAUCAAGUUAAGGAAAUUCAACUAAAUAGGAUAGUUGUAUGGUUAAAUAUAGAGACUUUGGAUGAGGUCCUAAACUAUGAAUAUUUUUUUACUGAAACCUUGUUGGUUUUCAAUUUUUGAUCGAAGUCCCUGAAAUUAAUGUGAUAAUUUUUUUAUCGAAGUUCCUGAAAUUAAUGUGAUAAUUUAUUUCUAUGUAUGUUACUAUAUUUUUUAAAUUAAAAAUUGAAAUUUAUAGUUGUUUAUAUUAAUGAGAUUUUAAAUAAAAAAAUCAUAAUUUGUGGGAUUAAAAAUAUUAGAAUAUAAAUAUAUUAUUGUGUGUGUGUAUAUAUACACAUAGGUACAUUCUUCAAAAUCACAAAAAAAAAAAAAAAAAAACAGAAAGAUACUAUUAGAAUAUAAAUAUACUAUUUAGUGAAUUUUUCACGACUAUAUUUUUUUCUUUGUCUAGACUUUGAAAUUACAAAUAUAUAAUAAUCAAAAUGGAGAAUGCCUUGAAACUGCACCGACAUCACAUGCCACUUAAUAAGUUUGAUUUUUCUUCUCUUAUCAGUUAUCAGAAUGGACUCAAUGGUUGACUUAAGUCACGAUCAAGGUAAACUAAUGGAGCAUUUUGUUUAUCUUUUUUGCUGGGUAAGAUGCUUUAUAAUAUGUUACAGUUACACUCAUGCAGUGUAGGAAAAACGGUAGUAUCUAUUGUGAAUAAAUUUCAUGUUAAUGGGAAGAGGGGCUUUGUAUGAUUUUAUUUAUAAGUAAGUUGGGCUACUCUCAGUAUUGCCACUUGAUUUUAUGGUAGAAUCUCAACUUCUUCAUGAUAUCAGAGCAAGUUGUCUCACAUGUGAAGUCAAACGGUCACACGCGCUCUACGUCAUCCCGUUGUGUUGUCCACUUGUUAGGCUUGAAAAUUCGUCAUACAUGAGGAGACGUGUUGAGAAUAAGUCUCAUAUUGAUGAAAGAAGUGACCUUGCAUGAUGUAACCUCAACUUCGUCAGUACCUCGAGACAUCAUCAAAUGUAAACCAAGACAUUUGUUUGCCAAAAAAUUUAACAGAAGAAAUUGUUACAUUGUAAAAGCAACAUGUUUCUUCCAGAAUGUGCCAUGCUACGUACGUUCAGGGGCAUAUUUAUAUAGGGACCGGGGUGGUCCCAGGACCUCCGAACAUCGAAGAAACGCUUAUGAAGAACCUCAGAGGACCACCCUAAACCCUAAGCGAAGCUCUAUGAAGGACUUGAUAGGAUAAAUUAUAGUGAAUUAUUAGGAUAACAUAGUAGAUAUAAGAGCCACCAUUCCCUGGGUUUUAUUCGCCGAAAAGCUUGAGUUGCAGAAUCGACAAAAUGAAGAAGAAGGGUUGUGCUUUUGCACCCUGCUUUUUUAUGUUGUCGUUUUGCAUUAUUUCUAUCCCUUUUUUCUAAUUUGGACCCACCAUCUUCUAUUUAAUAUAUUUUUCUGCCCCAAUUUUCCGUUCGCCCUUUUUUUCUGUAAAAGGAUCCUCGUCGGAUCAUUUUCCUAAGAAUUCGGAAAAUUUUGUAAUCGUGUGGUCAAUUUCCGUUAUGUACUAUUUAUAUUUAAUUUUAAAUUUUAAUUAAUUUAUGACUGCAUAAUAUAUGAUAAACGAACACAAUUACGAGAUUCCUCGAAUCCCUGGGAAAAGGAUGUGGCGAGGAUCCUUUUUCCUUUUUUCUAUCCCUUGUAGAAGUAUUGAAUGCUAAAUAUGUUUUUAACCUUUUAAAUUACUAGUAUGACUUCACCUCUUAAUUAUUAAUAUCUCAAAAGAAAGAACAUCUUUCAAGUUAAGAGUAUGUUAGAUCCCACAUCCUUCAGGGGAGUGGAUCAUCUAUGCCUUAAAUAUACAUGCCCACCUCUAUAUAGCACGAGGCCUUUUGGGAGCUCACUGGCUUCGGGUUCCAUAGGAACUCCAAAGUUAAGUGAGAUGGUGCGAGAGCAAUCCCAGGAUGGGUGACCUAUUGAGAAGUUCUCAUGUGAGUUCUCAGAAACAAAACCGUGAGACCAUGGUCAGGGUCCAAAGUAGACAAUAUUGUGCUACGGCAGAGUCGGGACUGGGAUAUGACAGAAUGGUAUCAGAGCCACUCUGCCGUUCGGUGCAAGUGUGCCGACGAGGACGUUGGGUCCCUAAGGGGGGUGGAUUGUUAUAUCCCAGAGCAAUCCCAGGAUGGGUGACCCACUGGGAAGUUCUCGUGUGAGUUCUCAGAAACAAAACCAUGAGGACGUGAUCGGGGCCAAAAACGGACAAUAUCGUGCUAUGGUGGAGGCGCGGGGCCCAUGAUGUGGUGGAGCCUAGGUCGGAAUGUGACAAUUUGGUAUCAGAGCCACUUUGCCAUUCGGUGCAAGUGUGCCGACAAGGACGUCGGGCCCCUAAGGGGGGUGGAUUGUUAGAUCCCACAUCGCCUAGAGGAGUGGAUCCUCUAUGUCUUAAAUGUACAUGCCCACCUCCAUAUAGCACGAGGCCUUUUGGGAGCUCACUGGCUUCGGGUUCCAUAGGAACUCCGAAGUUAAGCGAGAUCGCGCAAGAGCAAUCCCAAGAUGGGUAACAAUAUCGUGUUACGGCGGAGGCGCUGUGUACAAUAUCGUGCUACGAUGGAGGCGCUGAGUACGUUAACAAGAUAAUUGCAAUUUAAACUUCACUGUUUGAUAAAAAAUAAAAAAAAGGUGAACCAUUUUCUUUUGCGUAUUUCCAGAUUGUUUUCAUGUUUCCAGCAGUGGCCAAUAUGCAGGAUUAAGGUGCCACUGCAACCCAUUUCCUGAACAGCCUUUUCUUGCGAAAGUUAAAGCUCUGCAAUUUUCAGCUUCUGCUCUUGUUGGGAUUCGUUCAACAACUCCGGCUUUCAAGUUUCAACCCAUUCAAACUAGAAGACGCGAAAACCCAACUUACACUAGGUUUUGAAUUUUUGAUGAGUGGUAUCAAAUCGAAUCAGGACCCUUCUCUUAAUUUCAAUUUUGUGGUUUUUUUUUGUUUUUUUGUUGAAAAUACAACUUCAUUAAUGAAAUAAAAUAUUAGAAUUUAUGAUAGAUAGUUGAUUUUGAAAUUCAAAAGUCUAAAGUCCAAAUAAAAACAAAACCCUCCAUAAACAGAGUAAGACAUAGUUGAUUUUGAAAUUGGAACCUCAUCUUUUUUCAGUCAUGAGGAGCUACACCUACACCAAUAAGGAUUGACACCAUGUUGAUUGGGCUUCAGCACUUUUGACUAUGACUCAAAUGCACUUCCAUAAUUCACACUUGGAACAAAACGUGUUCUGCUCUGAUGUUUGCAAUCUCAAAUGGAGCAAAGUAAUCAAUUGAAUUAAAUUAUUACUUUGUCCAUUUGCCUAAACUUUAAGUCCUCCUUACUCUUCAGCUUGUCAAUUAAACAAGAAAUUAGCCCUCGAACAAAAAAAUAAAAAAGAAGAAAUAAUUGUGGUGGGCCACAUUCGUGAGAUGGGUUCAACGUAUUAUAUUAGGACAAGUUCCCAAACUUCUUUGUGAGCAUGUUGGGAGUUUUGUGACUGUUGGAUUUCAUAAAAUUGAUGGUGGAUUAUUUCUAUUAAUCAUUUGUAUUAAUAAUGAUUAAUAUAGUGAUUUAAUAUAAGAGAGAUUGAUUUCGAGGCUAGACACAACAAGACGGUCACGAUCCAAGAACGUAUCAGUGAGUGGACCUUUAGGUUCAACCUAUACACGAGAUAUAUGAUUUUCGAAAGGGUUUUUAUGAAAGGGGAUUAUAUUCGCACACACAUUAAAUUAUAUUUUCCAAAUCUUUUUAUUUUUUUAAUAUUUUUUGACACACCACUAACACUUAAUAGAAAAUAUUAAAAAAUUAAAAGGGUAUGAGAAAAGUAAUUUUGGGGUGUGUUAAUAUAAUAUCUCUUUUAUGAAAUAUCGUGUUAUCAUGUCAAUGUUUUACUUAGCGAACGCAAAUAUUUUAUAUAUUGAAGACGUUAUGAUUUAUGUGUUUUGUGAACAUUAUUAUGGCAUGAUCAUACAUUUUUAUUAUCUCAUCAUGUAUGUUAAACUGAUGUCUAUAGUACUGUCUGGGAUCAUGACCAACUUCACGUGUAUGUUCACAUUGCACGUUGGAUUUAUGUAGUUCCAGCCUGUACUAUUUGCAUUUAGCUUUCAAGACUAAAGUGUGAUGUGCCUUGCACCAACUUCACGUAAUCACGUGUAUUUGUACUUGAGUGUAGAUUUAUUCACCCAUCUUGUUCAUGUUAGAGUGUCCUCCCUUGCAUGAGCUCGUUGGUCUGCAUUUUUUAUGAGAAUAUUAUAUUAUACUUGUUAUAUUUGAGAUUUAUCGUGAUAUAAAUGUAUUAUUCAAUUUCGCUUUUAACGAGAAUCGAAUUUAAAACAUAUCACAUUAUGUGAAUAGUAAUAUACUAUUGGAGAAAUAAAUAACAACAGUGUAAGUUCAAGUCAUCUGAUUCGAUAUUAUAUGGUUGUAUAAGUUCAAGUCACCUUGAAUCCACUGUGUAAGCACUUGAGUUAAAAUACCAAGUGAGAAGUUAUAUGGUUGUAAGGCAAAAUAAUGCCAGGUGUUGUAAUCCUAGCAACUAGCUAGAUGAAAGGCUGAGAUUGCUUUGUAAUGAGAAAGAAUCCACCUUGGAUUCUAACGGUUAGUUAAGCACCGAAUGAGUGAGUUUUUGUAGAGAGAGAAGCAAUUGAAUAUGCUCAGCAAUAUUCUGUAGAGAGUAACAAACCAUUUUUGAAAAUUCUUCUUUGUUCAUCCUUCACUCUUUGUUCUUCGAUUGCUAAUCUCAUAACCAGAAUUUAAAUCAAAUAACAACAUGUUUAUAUAUAAUACGCAUAUAGACAUAAACACAUAGGUCAAAUGUGCACCAUUUUGUGCAGUAUAUACAUCUUCUGGAAGCCAUGACAGUUACAUAUGAACAUUUUUAAGUUGCAACUUGCAAGCUUGUCAAUGUAUCAAUAUAUAAUAUUUGUCUGCAAUUUCCAAAUAUCUUCAAGGUCGCGUAAAGAUUCUUUUAUGCAUUAGUCUAUGGAUUUAAAGAGGUUUGUUUUCGUUUGAUUUGACUUUAGUAGUAAACAACAAACAAAAGACUUCAAAGAGUCACUUACAGGGAAUUAAAUAAUUUGCGUUGAUUAUAUUUUCCUUGAAAUAUGGGUUGGUUUGACUUCUUGCAAAUGACUUCAAGGUGCCCAAAUGCAUUUAGUUUACAAUUUUUUUUUUCUUUUUGGAUGCAAGCAAGACUCAAAUUUAGGACUUUGAGUGCAACAGUAAAUAUUUUUAAUUACUUAAGCUACAAACUCUUUGUAAGAUUAGAUUUUAAAAAAAGUAAGUAAAGAGUGGAAAAAAAUGACUUUCUUUAACGCUACAUAAAAGUAAGGAAAAAUGAAUUUCAAUUCAGUUUAAUUUUUUCCAUUUUUGUCUUAAGAAAGGAGAAGAGCGAGAAUCAAAGUUUUUCUGCAAGAGCAAGUAAAGUGCCCUACAACUAAUAUAAGAUGGUCAACUACUUGUAUAUCAAGUAGAAACUUCAGAUAUCACUUCAACAUCUGGUUAUUUUUCGAAGUGUUUGAAAAUGAUUUCUAAUGCGAAUUUUCAUUUUUUAUGUAUGCCCUCUCGUUUCUUUUUGAUCCACAGUUCUUAUUAAUAUUUGUAAGAAAAGGCAACCAUUUAUUCAACGGAGAAUUCUAAAUAGUUAUAAGAUAGAUUACGGAAAACUUGAUCACCAAGAAUGCUUAAAUUCUUGACAAAUUAAACGGCAGCCUGCAAGUGAAUUUCCAAGUGACUAUUUCGGUAUUCUAUCCUGACGAAAUUCGAAGACAUUUGCGUAUGAAUUUAGUUAGGAAAGUUGGAUGCAUGUUUAACCCUACAACGUUAAUUCCCCUUCUGUUUUACUCAGUUGUUAGAUUGUUUGUAUGCAGCAGCAAUGUGGUUAAUAAGUCCUUUAUUUCUCACAGAAAUAUUACAUUGAUCAACAUAUGAAGCGAUCUUUAACAUCAGAGAGGAACUGGAAAUACGCAUAUCGCCAUGACGUGAUCAAAGCUAAAGAGCCACAAACUCCCCAAAAUCCUACAAUGAAACCAAGAGCCACUGAAAUAUAAAACCAUGGAAUUUCAUUCCCAUUGCCAUGCACAUCUUCCAUGUUCUUAGUUGCAUUAUCACUUGUGUUCUGCUGGCAUUUGUUUGGAAGCGGGGAACCGCAAAGUCCUGGGUUGCCCUCAAAGGCAGUGGCAUCGAAGCCUUGGAUCUGAGUGCCUAACGGUACUUGUCCUUGGAGGUUAUUGUAUGCAACACUAAGUGAAGCCAAGAAAUGAAGAUUUGAUAGUGAAGCUGGGAUUCCGCCCGACAGAUGGUUUCUUGAGAGGUCUAAUCUCUCCAAGUUUGUGAGGUUAGAUACCUGGUCCGGAAUGCUGCCAACGAUGUUGUUGACGCUGAGAUCCAGCUCGUGAAGGUUUUGCAACUGGCCUAUCUCAACGGGAAUAUUGCCACUUAGACUGUUAUUCCGGAUGUAAAUUGCUCGCGGCAAGUUGGACACAUAGUUGUACUGCAGAGCUGUGACAGAUGCAUUUGUUCGCUGCGUGUUGAUAGGUAGCUCGACAUCACCACUAUCUCUUUGAGAGGCAGGCUUCUCGGAUACAAGAGCUUGUAGUGAGAAAAGCUCAUUUGGAAGUCCCCCCGAAAGAGAGUUGUUGUUCAAGCUUAUGAAGAAAAGACUGGGAAGACUUCCCAACCAAUGAGGUAUUGAGCCUGUGAGUCUGUUGGAAGACAAAUCAAGGGCUUCGAGUUUCUUGAGCUUUGACAUCCACACCGGAAUAUGACCUUUAAGUUGGCAAUCCGAUAAGCCAAAAAGGCGGAGAUUUUGAAACCCAGAACCAAUCAUAGCAUCACCAUCCGGCAGUUCUUCACCUAUAAAAUUAUUUGGAAGCAAGACCACCCUGAGACUUUCGAAACGCAUCAAUAUAUGCAGAGCGCCAGUGACAUUGGUAAGUCUGUUGCUACCAAGUGCGAGGAAGGAUAGGUAUUUCAAUGAAACAAUCUCGGGUUGUAUUUGUCCCUCUAGAUAAUUACCGCUCAGGCGAACUGCUUUCAGAAACUUGCAUGAGUAAAGGCUUUUUGGCAUGACACCGGAGAAGUAAUUGCUCCCAAGAUUAAGCUUGAUAAGUUGAUUGAGUUUUGAAAAAUCUAGCUCCGAGAUAUUUCCAUCUAAAUGGUUGGAUUCAAGAUUGAGUUCGAUAAGGUUUGUGCAAUUCAUCAAAGAUGGGGGCAGAGGGCCUUCAAGAUUGUUGAAUUGAAGGAGCAUGAGUUUUAAUUUGGAGAGCUUCCCGAUAUGGAGAGGAAGUGCACCACUCAAAUGAUUAAAGUAAAUCUCUAGGAUUGUGAGGCUUGUGAGAUUGACAACGUUGUUACUAAUGUGACCGAAAAGCUGAUUGGAAGGUAACGAAAUUUCGUGAAGCGCUUGAGCUUUGAAGAGAUCACUAGGAAGAGUCCCAGAAAGAGUAUUAAAGCCCGCGCGAAAGAUUUCCAAUUUCAAACAGUUUCCUAGUCCGAGAGGAAUUGAGCCAUUGAAAUCGUUGUGGGAGAAAUCCAAGACUCUGACCGAAGAGGAACGAAGACAAAUGGAGGAAGGUAAUUUGCCAGUAAAAUGAUUUUUACUGACAUUCAAGCUGCUCAAACUCCAGGCAUGCUGGAGGAAUGAAGAUGGAAUUGUUCCAUUGAAUUGAUUGUUCGACAAAUCCACUAUUUGAAUGUAACUAGAUGAUAGAAACAAUGGUACUUCUCCGGAGAGAAGGUUAUAGCUCAAAUCAAGGAUUUCGACGCGACUCAAGGACAACAGUAGUCCAACAUCAAGAGGACCGGAAAGCAGGUUGUGGGAGAGAUUGAGGUGCGAAAGAUGUGUGAGGUUUCCAAGAGAGCAAGAAACGCCUCCUUGGAGCUGUUUAGAGGGCAACAAAACAUGUGUUACCCUACCAUUGGCAUCACAGGCGAUGCCUUCCCAGCGACAACAAUCACUGGAAGACCAAUUUAAACGAGAAGACAUAUUGAAAGAUGACAAAAGAGAGUUGUGAUCUGCCUUGUUGCAAGCAUGGUUUGUAGAAAUGAAAGCAGAGAACACAAAAAACAGGAAGAGGACUUCACAAGGCAUUAUAUGACUAGGUUCCGGCAUGGCGUUUUUCGCUACGGCUGUACCGGAGUUAUAUUGCUCACGUCGUUUCGGGGGUAUAUAUACACUCCUUUGUUUGAACCGAAGGAGGUAGAAAUUUUUGUAUUCUUGUGCUCAGUGUUUGAAUUUCUCAGUCUUUGCUAAAUAGAGACUUGAGUGAAAUGGGACGUCACUAACAAUGGAGGGUCUAAUCAUGGGGUGGCAGCGACGUAAUAGAAUGUCUUCAUUGACUUUUCGCUUGUCUGUUAUUGACUUUUCGCUUGUGCUUUUGGAAGAGCUAAAAACAUUUUUGUCUUCAAACAUGGUUGUUUGAUAAAAAUUUUAAAAGCCCUUGGAGUCGUCGAUGCACUUUUAAUCACUUUGACAAUUUUUUUUAUGCAAUCAAGUUAAGGAAAUUCAAUUAAAUAGGUGAGUUGUGUAGUUAAGUAUAAGAAGUAGAAGUGAGAGGCUCGUUAAUGAAUUAAUUUAGUGAAUUGUCCAUGAUUUAACCGCGUGUAAGUACUCUUACAUGAAAGAGAAUGUUACUUGCUCGAUUUUUCCUUUUUAAAAUUUAAAUAUCGUUCUUAUAAAAUGAAAUUAUAUAGUUACGCGUAAUAAUUACAUAAUAUAGCAUGGCGUAGACCUAUCAUCCGUCGACUUAUUUUACGACUAUAUUUUUUUCUUUGUCUAGACUAUGAAAUAUCAAAUCUAUAAUAAUAAAUAUGGAGAAUUUGUUUAUCUUUUUUGCUGGGUAAGAUGCUUUAUAAUAUGUUACAAUUACACUAAUGCAGAGUAGGAAAAACGGCAGUAUGUGUUGAGAGAAUAGUCUCACAUUGAUGGGAGGAAGACCUUGUAUGGACUUAUAAAUAAAUUGGGUUAUUCUUCAUAUUUUCAAUUGGUUUUAUGGAGGGACCUUAACUUCUUCAUGGUAUCAGAGCCGAUUGUCCUACGUGUGAAGUUAAACGGUUACAUGCGCUUCACGUCAUCCCAUUGUGUUGUUCAUGUGUUAGGGUUGAAAAUUCACCAUACGUGAGAAGCGCGUUGAGAAUAAGUUCUACAUUGAUGAGAGGAGAGACAUGGUAGAACCUCAACUUCUUUAGUACCUCGAGACAACAAAUUGUAAAUCAAGACAUUUGUUUGCCAAAAAAAUUUAACAGAAGAAACUGUUACGCGUUGUUGCAGCAACAUGUUUCUUCCAGAAUGUGCCAUGCUACAUACGUUAACAUGAUAAUUGCAUUUAAACUUUACUGUUUGAUGAAAAAAAAUAAAAAUCGUGAACCGUUUUCUUUUACGUUUUCCCAGAUUUCCAGAUUGUUUUCAAGUUUCCAGUAGUGGCCAAUUUGCAGGAUUAAGGUGCUACUGCCACCCAUUUCUUGAACCGCCUUUUCUUGCGAAAGUUGGAGCUCUGCAAUUUUCGGCUUCUGCUCUUGUUGGGAUUCGUUCAACAACUUCUGGCUUUCAACCCAUGCAAACUAGAAGAAGAGAAAACCCAACUCACACUAGAGAUUUUUUUUUUUUUUUAACUUUAGAAAAAUUAUAUAAACCCUUCUCAAUGAUUCUGUAUAUACACAGAUUUUGAAUUUUGAUGAGUAGUCUCAAAUUCAAUAGAGUAGAUAGAUUAAGACAUAAUAAAGUAGAUAGACUUAAAGCAAAAUGAGAACUACAUCCCAAGACAUAAAUGGAGGCCUACACAUCCUUAGGCAUGUCGGCAACAAUAAAAAACAACAGGAAAAAACUUUAAUCACAUGCAGCAAAAAGCAAGCCUCCACCGCCGCCCACAUCAUCCGCGAAGGUAGAGAUUGCCCCAAACUGAAAAGAGCAUCAGAACCAAAACUAGAUUUGAGAGUGUUGCGCACAAUCAAUUCAUCAAGAAACAACAACAUCCACAAUCACACCUGAAAGGAAUUCAAAAAGCAUAGAGGAGGAGGGGGAGGGCAGAGGGGAUGUGUAAAACACCCUUGUUCCAACAUGAAUCGUUCCACACUUAUCCCAUUUUUUUGGCAAGUUAGUUCAGCAAAGGGCUAUGAGAGAUAGGGUCCAAUAUUCCAAGAUCUAAUUCAUGAUUAUGGGUUGGAAAAAAUGAGGGGUAGCAAGGGAGAGGUAGGAAAGAAGGGUGCGGUGUGGAUGGUUUUGCUUUGCUUUGCUUUCUUAGAGAAAGAGAGAGAGAGAGAUGUUGGACGUUUAAAACACUGCAUGCAUAGAAUCACAUACAUACAAUGACAUGCAUACGUAAACAUGAUAGACUUACCUGAAGAAGAAGAGCUCGACAUUGCUGCAAUGAAGAACAUAAAGGUCUUCUACACUCAGCAGCCAAUAAUCCAGCUAGAAUAGGGUUUGCUCAAAAGGGACGGCGCUGUGAGUGCAAGGACCUCCCUAUAUAUAUUCGUACUCCCUUGAUAUCAGGUCUAUUAACUGAUACCCCGGAUAUUCCAAACAAUUUAGGGUUUCGAUAUAGUCCUAGUACGUUUUGAACUCUUGUCAAGUCUUGAUAGGGUUACGUGAAUAUAAUUGCAUUAGGACUCUUAAUCUUAACCAAGUAGGAUAGGAAUUUCCUCAACAUGAUAACUCAUACACUGAGAUAUCAGUUUGUCGAGAACAAGAACUCAUUCUCCUUGACACUCACUUCUUACAAGAGAGAGAUAGAGGGAGAGAGCGCUGAUUGAGGUAGUAAUUAGCAGAAAAGUAAAUAUUUUUAUGGUUAAACAUGUGAUUUAUAACUUAUCUUUAAUAGUUAUUUUGCACCAGAGAAUUUCUGGCUCAAUUCGUACACAAAAAUAUUUAUUCGUCUUCUGGGCAGGGAGCUUUAAGUGGAACACUAAAGAGAGAGGUGGUUUGGAAGUUGUCAGGGAUCAUGAAAGAUUUACCUUUGCUUGCAUAUUCUGAACAAUUUGUACUCUCAGCUCCACUAUCCAGUUUCCUGUUAAGAACAAGGACAAGAAUUAAACAUCACAAACUAAAUCGAAAAAGAAAACGCAAAAAGAGUCAUACCUUCUUCCAAGCCUUCUCCACAUUAGAUAGAGCUUGAAUUGAACAUUGUCCAGGAAUUGGAAAUAUACAUUUCUCCACGUCCUCUUGAGAAGCAAAGGGCAACAGAAUCCCAAGAACCCUACAACAAAACCAAGCGCAAAGGAUAACCCAACCCAUAGAAUUUGAUCCUUAUCAUCGUCCAAAUCCUGGUUGUUCUCAUUCUGAUCUGCAUCAUUGCCAUCACUUGACAAGUACUGAUUUGGAAGUAGGGUGCCACAAAGUUUUGGAUUCCCUUCGAAUGCAGAGGCAUUGAAGCCUUGGAGCUGAGUGCCGGCUGGUAUUGAUCCCUCAAGAUUAUUGUAUGUAACAGUAAACGUAGACAAGAAAUGGAGACUUGAUAGUGAUGAUGGGAUUUCACCUAAUAGACGGUUACUGUUGAGUUCUAAUCUCUCCAACUCUGUGAGGUUGGAUAUUUGGUCUGGAAUGUUGUCGGAGAAGUUGUUGAUGCUUAGAUCCAGUUGUUGAAGAAAUUGCAAUUGGCCAAUCUCAAAGGGUAUGCUGCCACUUAAAUUCUUGUUCCCGAGGGAGGUUACUCUUGGCAUGUUGGCCACAUACUUGUACUGUGAAGACAACAUAGUUGCAUUAUUACUGCGUUUGAAGUGGAUGGGCAACUCAAGUGAACAAUGUCCUGUUUGAUUCGCAGCCUUUUGUGAUACUAACGCUUGUAGUCUGCAAGGCUCCCUUGGAAAUUCACCCAAAAUCAAGUUGUCACUCAACAACAAAAAGAAAAGACUCGGAAGAGUCCCCAGCCAACCAGUUAUUGUGCCAGUAGUGAGUCUGUUAAAAGACAAAUCCAGGACUUCCAGUUUCCUGAACUUUAAAAUCCAUAGAGGUAUUUGACCUGUCAUAUGAUAGCUAUAUAAAUUGAAAACACAGAUUUUGUAACAUGAAAUCAACAGUAAUAUCCCCAUCUGGAAUUUCUCCACCUUGAAAAUUUUCUGAAAGAAGGAGCACCCUGAGACUUUUGAAACCUGUAAAUAUCUUCAUUGCCCCCGUGACAUUGGUGAGUCUGUUAUGAACAAGCGAGGGGAAGGUCAAGUUUUUCAAUUGAAGAAUCUCAGAUUGGAUUUGUCCCUCAAAAUCAUUUGUAGCCAGUCGAAGUGCUUUGAGGGACUUGCAUGAGUAAAGGUUUAUUGGCAAGAUACUAGUGAGUGCAUUAUUUAUAAAAUCUAGUUUACUAGGUUGAGUAAGUUUAGAGAAAUCGAGUGCAGUGAUAUUCCCACUAAAAUGGUUGAAUCCCAGGUUUAUUUCAACAAGGUUUGUGCAAUUCGUCAAAGAUGGGGGCAGAGGCCUUCUAGAUUGUUGUAAUGAAGGUGCAUGAGCUUUAAUUUGGAGAGCUUCCACCGAUGGGUCCGAAAAGGCUAUUAGUAGAUAAUGAAAUUUCUUGAAGGGCCUGAGCAUUGUAGAUAUCAGCAGGAAGGAACCCUGAGAGAGUGUUGUUGCGAGCAUGAAAGUCCUCCAAUUUGGAACAGUUUUCCUAGUCCUAGAGGAAUUGAACCACUGAAAAUAUUGCAGGAGAAAUCCAAGACUCAAAGCGAACAGGAAAGAAAACAAAUAGAGGAUGGUAUUUGGCUAGUAAAAUGAUUAUUGCUGACAUUCAAACUGCUCAAAUUCCAGGCAUGCUGGAGGAAUGAAGAUGGAAUUGUUACAUUAAACUGAUUGCUGGACAAAUCCACCAUCCGGAUAUAACUUGAUGAUAGAGGUAAUGGUAGUUUUCGAAAUACAUGGUUUUUGCUUAAAUCAAGGAUGUGAAGGCGAGUCAAGGACAAAAAAAUUCCAGCCUCAAGAGGACCGGAGGGCAUAUUGUGGGAGAGGUUGAGAUGCGAAAGAUGUGUGAGGUUUCCAAGAGAGUAAGAAAUGCAUCCCUUGAUUCAUUUGGAGGGCAACAACAAAUGAGUUACCCUACCAAACAUAUCACAAGUGAUGCCCUCCCGUCGGCAACAAUCGUUGGAAGACUAGUUUAAACUAGAAGAAUCAAUAUCAAAUGAAGACCGAAGAGAGUGUUGAUCAAUUUUUCGGCAUGCAGGGGUUGUAGCAAUGCAACUUGAGAUGAAAAAUAUGAAGAGGAAGCCAUAAGAAAUUGGAAGUGCCAUGUUUGUAUAUUUGAUUGCUCACAAAUUUGUUAUAUGUAACACACUGCAUUGUUUUGUUUAGACUAAAAGGGCUAGAAACAACAUCGAAACAUGAAUCAUGCUUCUUGGCUGAUGUAUGCAUGUGAAGAAUAUAAAGCACACGAGUUUUACUAAGUACUUUUAUAUAUGAUUCCUGUUGCAGGUGAACAACGAUUUUAGCCUUUAGGUUCCAUGCUAAAACUAAUUGGAUCGGGCUAACUAGCUCUGGCUCCUACUAAGCCCAUAAAAGAAUAUUCCUUAACUUUCUGAUGUGGUACAAGUCAUCACAUCCUCAUUGUUGGUCCUGUUGUAAUGCAAGGUUCGAUCAUAGUCGGUCACUCCCCGCAUCGCCAGUUUGAUUUUGUAAUUGGUGUUCGUGGCAGGAAUUUCUGUCGGGGAUGUUUCCUGGCCGACGAGCACACAGCUCCCCUGGAGGUUGGCGCCGGUUGAGGGCUGCUGUCGGGCUUCUGCUUCGUUGUCGGGCGUUGUUGGGCAAGUCUCGUCGGGCAAGACUCUUCGGGCAAGGCUGAAAGAGAAGGACAGCGUUAACUUUGAGAGGUGCCUUUGUGGGGCCUUAGGUGUAGGUCUUGAGGCUCACAAUCAAGGUUAACAUUUAGGUGCUCAGGCGUGCCACUACCAUCUUUAGCAUGACAGAUGUAAAAUGGUCGUUGUGUUUUAGUUGUAUAUAUGUAUGUAUCCAAGAAACCGUGUUAGUUAUAACAGGUGCCUUUGUGGGGCCUUAGGUGUAGGCCUUGAGGCUUCCCAUAAAUAACUAAACCAGUGCUCGAACACAUCAUAUUUUAUUCUUGCGAUUAUAGGAAUUUUCUAACUAUUAUACUUCUGAUUACCCGAAUCCAAGAAGUAGAAUGAACCCAAAUAGGUGCCUUUGUGGGGCCUUAGGUGUAGGCCUUGAGGCUUCCCAUCAGAGUUCAUUCUUAUACUUAGACUCUUUAGAUCGUAGAACGGAAUGAAUCCAAAUGGAUGCCUUUGUGGGGCCUUAGGUGUAGGCCUUGAGGCUUUCCAUCAGAAUCCAUUCCAUGCUCAAGCGUUCUAUGGAAAUCAUAAUAUAAUAGAAAGAAAACUAGAGGAUAGGUCGAUUACUUGCGCCCCAAGUAACUCCGGACUUCUCGUUUAUCAAGGACUGUCGUGGAUGGGUUAAGUCCACAUAAAGUUCUUUUUUAUGCCUUGAGGCCAAGGACUUUUCAUUGAUCAGAUUUACAUGCCCGAGGGUUUAGGACUUGGAUCUGGUUUGAACACUUAAGAUAUAUUCAAAUCGGAUUCAAGUAUUGAGAAAGCCUUUUAAUAGUCACAAUGCUUGAAAUAACUUGUAUAUGACUGGAUGUAUACAACAUAUUGAAAAGACAAAAACAAAGCAAAGAAGGUCGGGCAAGGUUAAACCUUAUCGAGUAAGGCUGCUCCUCUUGUAGGUUCCUAUCUUUACAGUUUUGUCAAAGGUCUGAGAGCUUUGGAGGGAUAGAGAAAGAUUACAGAAGAUGAAUCGAUACUACAACAAGGUUGAACAGGGUAGCAGAGUUAUUACAAAAGUUUAAAGGGAGAGUUAUCCCGUGAGGGAUGAAGGCUUGUCCCGAGAGGGAUAAAGGCUGAUUACAUCUUUGUUUUGAAGGCAAAUCUGACUUGAGCAGAGUUUGUGUUUGCAUUUGUUUGUUUGAUUGAGUGUGUGCAUUUGUUUGUUUGAUUGAGUGUUCUUAAUCCUGGAUUUCCUUUCUUCUUAUAUAGACAACUCGACUGGGCCUUCGGUAGCAGCAGCUUUGCCCGAAUGCGGUUUGAGGGUGAUGACUCAUCAGCUAUUUUACAUGUAAUGCCACCAUAAAGUACUUUAUGGGCUGUGUAGCUGACUAGUCUACACCACUUGGCCUUUGGGUAGGUAAGCAAGUGGUCUUCAUGAGCUGCACCAAGUCAGAAAAGGCCUUCUCCUGCCUUCUGGGCUUCAACUAGGCUUCGACUAUUUUCCCUUUCGAGCCUCCUUUUGGGCCAAUUCCCUCCUUGAGCCUAAAGUUCAAGUUUUGAUCCAAACAGUGCCCCCUUCAAUUAAUAUUUAGCCUGAUCCCCUGUACUCACAGCAAGAAAUCCUUCUCUAAUUUGUCGCCCUCGUCAUCUUCCUUGGUAUUCCGUUCCCGAACUCCUUCAAUUGACUGCGGAAUCUAGCCAAACCCAAUCCCCUUACGAAUCUGGCGAAGGAAUCGCCACUCUUUGUCGUCUACUCAAUGGGCUGCAUCGCCCUCGGGCAGGUCUGCUCCAAGCUUUUCUUUGAGGUGCAUGAGGUACAAUCAUUGGGUCCCGCCUGGAUUUCUCGGGUCCCUUCAGUGGUGGAGAGCAACAUGCCUAGAGAUAACUGGUUUUCUCCAAAUCUCUAUUCGGCUAGGUCGGGCAUUUCUUCCUCCAAAUGGUCAUCAUAUCGUUGGGGUUUUCCUCUGAUGAAUGAUCUUGCCUGGGCUCAAUGGAUUGAUGAUUUAGAGCCUACUUUUAAGAGGAAAUGGAUGAAUAAUGGUAUUUAUGAGUUAAUCAUGCUUUCGAAGACCACGAUUAUUCCCAAGCCCGAGCUGCUUGCUUCUGCCCUCAUUUUCUGGAAUUCGGGCACAAAUACCUUUGAUUUCCGUAUGGGCCCCAUGUCUCCCACCAUUCUUGACAUGGCUCAAGUUUUUGGCUUAAGGCCCUCGGGCAGGAUAUUGGACGUUACUUAAGAAUGGGUUCCGUCCUCUGCCACUGGAAGCUCAAGUUCAUCCGCUACCUUCCUCUCUUUGAAUUAUAACUCGGCCACUUUCAAGCGUUACGGGACUUCCUUCAAAGGAUUCAUCCCCUUCGUAAAUGAGAAUUUUGGGGUGGGCUCACCUCGGGUAGAUAAAGAUCAGGAGCACAUGUAUUUCCUCUUAUACUGGCUCAACAAGCACAUCUUCCCCAACAAAUCCAAAGGGGUGAGGGUUGAAUGGAUCCCCUUGGUAGAAGCUCUUCACAACUUUGAUGACGUAGCUACAGGUCCAUUCCUUCUUUCCCACCUUUAUCAUCUUCUUUUUUAAAUGACUCAAGGUGAGCCAUUUGAGACCAAUUUGAAUGGACCAAUAUGGAUGAUACAAACUUGGCUUCAAUGGUAUUUCCCAGAAUUUCGGGCUACUAAUCUGGAGUUCCCUGAGGGUGUGGCCCCUGCCCGAAUCCUGGCUGAAGCUGCCCCUAUAGAUCAUUCCACUUUUGCCUGCUUCUAUUUCUUCAGAGUUUGCAGGACUCGGUCAGAUUUAGAAUGGGGUGCGCCGGUCCUAAGAAGAUAUCCUUGGUUUUCUGACCAAGCCUUUCAAGAUGCCCCUGGCGAGGAUGCUACCCCCUUUUGCAGGGAGAAAUUUAUUAGUUGCAUUCAAUCAAGAGACCUGGCCUGGAGAGUUCGGGGCAAUAGAUAUGACCGAGGCCUGGAAGUGUACCAUCCUAACUUCUGCAGCAGGCAGUUAGGAUUUAGACAUGCCAUUCCUGUCCCGUUCUUCGACUCUGUCCAUUGUGGCACUUCCUUCCGGUUACCAACUCCAUCUGAAGUGACAUUCCGAGCUGCCCGACGAAGUCUUGACGUAAUGAGUCAAGCAGCCCGAAAGUCCAUUAUCCUCAAUUUUGAGUGCACCUCGCUCUUCUCUUCCUGGUGGGAAGACAAAUGGACUAAGAAGUAUGGAGGAGAUUUGAAAGAAACUCACGAUCGCCUUUUCAACCAACUUUCACUUAAGUCAUAUCCUGGCUCGGGCGAACUUGAAAAUUGGAAGGAGAUGAUUCAAGAAAAGAAUCGGUUACUUCUGAUAGGUACUUCUCUUUCAAUUUGAUUUUGCUUCCUUUCUGAAGUCCUUCUAUCCUUACUUUUGCUGAAUUUUGCAGCUCCAGCGGAUGUUGAAUCGGAAGCUAUUGAAUCUGAGGAUGAUUCUGCUGAUGCUGCAAUUCUUCAUGGAGCUGCCGCAGAAGCUGGGAGACGAGAAGCUGGGGAGGGUGCAGAUGUCUCAGAAUCUUUUGGGGAUUCAGGAGCUGAGGAAACACCUGAAGCUCUUAUCAAAGCAACUAAGAGAAAGAAAGCGGCGGUGACUAAGACUUCAGAUCCUGAUCCAGUACCUCUACCCAAAACCACCCGACCAAUUCUUACUAGAAAAAGUAAGAGAGCAAGAACUACCGCUCCUCCUAAGUUAUCAGCCCCAUCAGUUCCUGAGGCCGGCAGAAAGAAACAACAAUCCUCAAGUGAGUUCCUGUUUUUUCUUUAAACUGUUACCUUUCACACUUAUCUGAUUGUCUCCUUCAUCGGUGAACAGGACCCCAAGCAUCUAAAAGACCAAUCCUUGCUUCUAAGGAGGAACCACUAAGAGCUGCAAUGCUCAAAAAGGCCGAAGAUCUGCGAAAUACUACCCUCAGAGAACUUGAGGUAUGAUUUAUAUAUUUCUCUUUAGGCCUCUUCUUGCUCUCAUAUAACUCUAAAUCUGAUUAUUUGACUUAGGCCGCAAGAAAGGAAAAGCUUUCUUCGCCCGAAGCCUCUCCACAAUUUGCUCGAGAGACAAGCCUACCUCAUUCUCAAGUCGACCCUGCAGAGGUGAUUUUUCUUAUCUUCUAAUUCUUGGAUAAUUUUCUAACUUCUGGACCUAAUGUCUGAAUAUUGUUAGGCUGGAACAUCCGCUUCCUUGCCUUGCCAUGGCCCUCCUCUGAGGUCCAUGACCUCUUCUACCGCUCUGGAUGCAACCCCUUCUUCUCAAUUUGAUCCAUCCACAGGAGUUAUGCUGCACUUCGUGGAUGAAGAUAGUAACUUGGUGAGUCGCAUAUUCCAUGUUGAACUUCUGCGCAUUGCUUCCCAACUAACUUUUACUUAUGUUCUCCACAGCCUUCUCCAGUAUAUGAGCCACCCCCUUCAAUAGUGGUUCCAGAUGAUGAACCCAUAGUCCCUGAGAUCCCUGUAGCUUCAGAGGUAGCAAUCUUGCGGGUAUUUGCUUGCCCGACAGUUGAUAAACCUCUUUCUCCUCCUCUGGACCAAACUCAGGUAUGAGAGUAUUCUCUCCUUGUUCUUUCUCUUAGGCUCUAUUUACUGACAAUCACUGCUAUCUCUGGGUACCUCUAGGGCACUGGUACAGGUUCAGGUGCAGCUCAUCACUCUCCUACUGGUGGUGCUGGUGAUGCUGGUGGUGAUGACCCUUUCCGCCAAUCAAGAAUCAGUCAUUUUCCUGGUGAAACCCCAGGGCUGAGCCAGGUAUAUUUCAUCUCUCCAAAUCUUCUUUUGCCUCAAACUAUAUUCAAAUUGUCUUGACCUGGUCUUUUGGCUUUCUAUAGCAAGCUUCAAGAGAAACUUCUCCCCCCCAUCUGGUCCGCAAAUCAAAGCGCUCCCAUCCUCACUCUUCUGGAGGUACUGCGAUUCCUCCUUCUGGUAUUGAGCAGGUCGGGCAGGCAGAAAUUGCCCUCUCAAUGGACAUUCCUUCAUUAGAGGAAGCUACAGUGCAGGAUUCUCCUUCUUUCACACCUCCACGCCCUGCUAAGUUGCCCAGACUGUUCGAAGCACUUGGACGGCUUGAGACGCGGUUGAAAUCCUCAAGACAAUCUUCAGCUACCCCAAUUUCUUCAGAGCAACAGCGAGUCCUUCAGGAAUGGGCAAGGAAGGACUUCACCGCUUCAUUAAGCCUUAGGGCUCUUUGUGAUUUGGAGAAGAUCAUAACUGAGUCCUUCAGAACUGGUCGGCUAUCAAAGCCUCAACAUGAUUCUUUUCUAUCCUUCUUUGAGAACUUGAGAGCCCUUAGGGAACAAUACCAAAGAGCGGACAGACAGGCUAAUCGGGCAAAAUGCUUCAUGGAGAAAGAAUCAAACACCUCUGCUCAAAUUGAUCAGAGGAUGGCAGAAAGCUUACAGGCAAAAGAAAGGGUCAGAGUUGUCACUUCUAAAAUCCAAGAGCUGGAGGAACAAUUGGUUGCUCUUAAAGCAGAACAAGCAACUCUUCUAGAUACCCUUGAAAAUCAAAUUGAGGGAGUGGAGAGUCAAAUUCGGAGUUAGAGCAUGCCCGCUCUCAACUUGUGAAUAUCCAUACUGUUUUGGCCGAACCCUGUAGGAUAUUUACCAUCAUGCAAACAUAUCAUUCCCGAAUAAUCACCCUAUGUGAAGAUGUAAAUUUUUUAGAAUAGGAUGAUUUGUAACUCUUCUUUUAUUGGAAUGAACAUGUAAUUUGCUUCCUGCUCUGCUCUUUGGUACUGCUGGUAUUGACUUUGGGCAAUUCUUUGCCCCCCUUUAAUCCCCUUUCUUAUUUUGCCCUGGCUAACACCAAUCUCAGGACCUGAUCUUGGUCCCUUGAUCCCCUUCAUGACACUUUAUUCAUGCAAAGGUGCUGGGACAACCUGGGCCAUUCUCUUUCCCUGCAAUACCAAAUGGUGACCCCGCCUCUUGUAAAAUGAGGUUAAUCAUAUUGAUAGGAGCCUCAGGGAAAGGGUUAGUAUCCACCAUCAUACUGGCUUGGGGCGAAUCAAGCAACAUCUUUCCCUUCACUAUAAGAUCUUGUAUCCAGUCCCUAAACUGGACACAAUUAACUAUGGAAUGGUUGAAGGUGUAGUGCACCUUGCAAUACUUUUUCCCCCUGAGUUCUUCCGGCUUAGGCAUUUUCUUAGUAUUGUCGGGCAAGAUUACCCUCGCCCGUACCAAUUCUUCAUAGAUCUCAGGUGUCUUGGAUAGGUCGAACGAAUAACUCUGGUACUUGGGGACAAAACCACCAUCGUUCAUUACAACCUUCUAAUCCUUGACAGGCUGGACUAGCCCCUUUACCGUUAAUAGUUUGAAAGGUGUGGUCAUCUCAGCGGCACACACGUCUACAUCCUCUUCGUCACGGCCACCCUCAUGCUCUGGCCUGGCUUCUCCCACUUCCACCCGAUGAAUUGCAGCUUUAUUUUUGUAGAAAGGGGGAGUUUUGGAAGUAUGCUUUACUUGUUGCUCUUCUUGUAACAGCCUCUCAUACUUCGUGGCAGCAAUCACCAAUUCUUGCAGUUCAUUAAACUGUGCAUCAUAAAAUCUUUUCCUUAAUGGUAAUUUCAAAGCCCUUUGAACAAUCGAUAUGAGCUGGGCUUGGUUGACGGGGAAUUGGCAUCUCAUCCUUGUUCUCCUGAACCUCAUCAUGAAGUCUUCAGUAGAUUCAUGAUCAUAUUGUUUGACUUCAACAAGGUCAUUGAUAGUCAAUUCUGGCUCUAUUCUGUAAAAUUGUUCAUGGAAAGCCAUAUCCAUUUGUCCCCAGUUGGCGAUAGAGUUAGGGGGCAACAAAGAGUACCACUGAGAUGCUAAUCCUGCCAAUGAAUUCCCAAACAACCUCAACUUGUAGUUUGGGUUGUCCUCAUAUGCUACGUAAUGAUUGGAAAAUUUGAAAAUGUGGUCUCUGGAGGACACGCUGCUAUAUUCACCUGUGAAUAUUGAAAACGCGGGCAUCUUGAAGUUGAGAGGGAAUGGAUUUAACUCGUCAACAUAUUCAGGAUAAGGCUUUUGAUAAGUAAUCAUGAAUACUGGACGAGCUCGUGGUUGAGCAUUUUGAGCCACCGUCAUUCUCAACUCAGCUAGUUCCUCCCUCAGCUGCUGAGUAGCUAGAGUAUCAUUAUGACCAAAGAGAGCAGGUUCGAUCUUUGGACUCCGGUCAUUGCCCGCACUUGCUUCCCUCCUUGGUUCGGGCUUCCUCCAACUAGCUCAUCCACCCUUAUUCACCAACGGGGGUGGCCGAUAAGGUGGGGGUUUAUCUGCAGUACUGGAGCCUUCCUUUCCGCUAGUUUCGCCCAUCAUAGCUGGCAUCCCGUACCUCGUUCUGUCUUGCUCGCUUGGCUUCCUAUUAUUGAAUGAUAAUACUAGGAAGCUGGGAAGCUCUCUCUCCAGAACUGGCUCUAUCACUGGUUGACUCCCUUCAGGAGCUACCUUUUUCUUUCCCCUAUCUUUUUCUUCUUCUAACAGUGGGAAUAAAGAAAAGAUUGGUUCAUUUCUCAUAACUACUUGGCUCAUCCCGCUCCCCUGAACCCCUUUUGGAGUAGAGAAUUCCAAAUCCAGUCUUCUCUGGAGAUUCCCUGUUAGUGUACAGAGUCUGCUUACUUCUCCCUUGGUUUCCAAGGAGAUUCUUUCCAUGCUCUUCAGCACUUGGAUCAUCGUAGCCUGUAGCUCUUCAUUAGUUCCCUUUCCUUCUGAUCUCUCAGAUGCAGUUGGGCUCUCUAGGACCACUUGUCCUGAUGGGGAGGAAGGGUUUUCUGAUUGAUCUGCCAUUUGUGAAGACUUUCUUUCGGAUUGUUUUUGCCAAGUUUUCUGUCUUUUCUUUUUGGACAUACAAGAUCAAGAAGCUUGGAGUCCCACUGGGCGUGCCAAAACUAUGUUCGUGGCAGGAAUUUCCGUCGGGGAUGUUUCCUGGCCGACGAGCACACAGCUCCCCUGGAGGUUGGCGCCGGUUGAGGGCUGCUGUCGGGCUUCUGCUUCGUUGUCGGGCGUUGUCGGGCAAGUCUCGUCGGGCAAGACUCUUCGGGCAAGACUUUUCGGGCAAGGUUGAAAGAGAAGGACAACGUUAACUUUGAGAGGUGCCUUUGUGGGGCUUUAGGUGUAGGCCUUGAGGCUCACAAUCAAGGUUAACAUUUAGGUGCUCAGGCGUGCCACUGCCAUCUUUAGCAUGGCAGAUGUAAAAUGGUCGUCGUGCUUUAGUUGUAUAUAUGUAUGUAUCCAAGAAACCGUGUUAGUUAUAACAGGUGCCUUUGUGGGGCCUUAGGUGUAGGCCUUGAGGCUUCCCAUAAAUAACUAAACCAGUGCUCGAACACAUCAUAUUUUAUUCUUGCGAUUAUAGGAGUUUUCUAACUAUUAUAGUUCUGAUUACCCGAAUCCAAGAAGUAGAAUGAACCCAAAUAGGUGCCUUUGUGGGGCCUUAGGUGUAGGCCUUGAGGCUUCCCAUCAGAGUUCAUUCUUAUACUUAGACUCUUUAGAUCGUAGAACGGAAUGAAUCCAAAUGGAUGCCUUUGUGGGGCCUUAGGUGUAGGCCUUGAGGCUUUCCAUCAGAAUCCAUUCCAUGCUCAAGCGUUCUAUGGAAAUCAUAAUAUAAUAGAAAUAAAACUAGAUGAUAGGUCGAUUACUUGCGCCCCAAGUAACUCCGGACUUCUCGUUUAUCAAGGACUGUCGUAGAUGGGUUAAGUCCACAUAAAGUUCUUUUUUAUGCCUUGAGGUCAAUGACUUUUCAUUGAUCAGAUUUACAUGCCCGAGGGUUUAGGACUUGGAUCUGGUUUGAACACUUAAGAUAUAUUCAAAUCGGAUUCAAGUAUUGAGAAAGCCUUUUAAUAGUCACAAUGCUUGAAAUAACUUGUAUAUGACUGGAUGUAUACAACAUAUUGAAAAGACAAAAACAAAGCAAAGAAGGUCGGGCAAGGUUAAACCUUAUCGAGUAAGGCUGCUCCUCUUGUAGGUUCCUAUCUUUGCAGUUUUGUCAAGGGUCUGAGAGCUUUGGAGGGAUAGAGAGAGAUUACAGAAGAUGAAUCGAUACUACAACAAGGUUGAACAAGGUAGCAGAGCUAUUACAAAAGUUUGAAGGGAGAGUUAUCCCGUGAGGGAUGAAGACUUGUCCCGAGAGGGAUGAAGGCUGAUUACAGCUUUGUUUUGAAGGCAAAUCUAACUUGAGCAGAGUUUGUGCUUGCAUUUAUUUGUUUGAUUGAGUGUUUGCAUUUGUUUGUUUGAUUGAGUGUUCUUAAUCCUGGAUUUCCUUUCUUCUUAUAUAGACAACUCGACUGGGCCUUCGGUAGCAGCAGCUUUGCCCGAAUGCGGUUUGAGGGUGAUGACUCAUCAGCUAUUUUACAUGUAAUGCCACCAUAAAGUACUUUAUGGGCUGUGUAGCUGACCAGUCUACACCACUUGGCCUUUGGGUAGGUAAGCAAGUGGUCUUCAUGAGCUGCACCAAGUCAGAAAAUGCCUUCUCCUGCCUUCUGGGCUUCGACUGGGCUUCAGCUAUUUUCCCUUUCGGGCCUCCUUUUGGGCCAAUUCCCUCCUUGAGCCCAAAGUUCAAGUUUUGAUCCAAACAAUUAGAACCUCAUAUUUCUUUCAGUCAUGAGGAGCUACACGACUAAGGACUAACAUCAUGUUGGUUGGGCUUCAGACUUGUCACCAAUACAAGGUUUUCCACAAGAACUUUGGACUCUGACUCAAAAGUACUUUCAUAGUCUGUACUUAGAACAAAACGUGUUAUGCACUGAUGUUUACAAUUUUAAAUGAAACAAAUUAAUUAAUUGAUUAAAUUAUUGGUUUGUCCAUUUGCCUAAAAUUUAUGUCCUCUUUAGCUUGUCAAUUUAGCAAGAAAUUAAAAGAACAAAAAUGCCCUCGAACGAGAAAAUAGAAACGAAGAAAUAAUUAUGGGGUGGUGGGUAGGGCUGGAUCGGUAUGGGAUCCCGUCCCAAAAAUGGGAUCUCGAAUCCCAAACCGAUCCUUUUUGGGAUGAAAAUCCGAAUCCCGAUCCCAAACCAAAAUUUCGGUAUUCCCGAAUUUCGGGAUUCCUGAAAUAUUUUCGGGAUUUCGGUAUGGUUUCGGUUUUCAAUUCAAACAAAAUUUGGCUUCCUGUUAAUGGAAGAAGCUGAUAAAUUAAAUUAAAUUCAAUUCAAACCUGCAGAUCGAGCAUGCAAAGCAGAAAAGAUUCAAACCUGCAUAUUGAGCAUGCAAAGCAUAAAGAAAUCGAACAUGCAAAGGAGAAAUUGACCAUGGAAAUCCAGAAAUCCAAAUCAACCAAAUCCACAUAAAAUUAAUCCAGAAAUCCCCAGAAAAUUAAUCAAGAAAUCCAAAUCCAAAUCAAAACAAUCAAAAGCUCUAAAUCGUAAAUUCCUAAUUUAUAAAUCCUCAUUCGAACCCUAAUUCAGAGAAAGCUUCAGAGAGGAAAGAGAAAGAUAUGGGUCGAGCUUCGAAGAUUUGAGAGAGCUUUCGGCAGUAGCUCUUUGCUCUCUCUCUGCUUCUCAACACGAAGAGUGCUGCUCUCUGCCUCAAGAGUCAAAACCAAACUCAAGAGCUUUCGGCAGUAGCUCCUUCCUCUCUCUUCUCCUCUCUGCUUCUCAACAUGAAAAGUGAUGUUCUCUGCCCCAUCUCUUCUCCUCUCUGCUUCUCAACAUGAAGAGUGAUGUUCUUUGCCCCAUGAGUGAUGCUCUCUGCCUCAAGUGUUGCUCUCUGCGCCUUCUGUUAGUGGGAGCCAAAAGGCUCCUGCUUUUGAGGUGGGAAGUCUGAACCGAAACCCAAAGCCAAUUUGUGCCUUUCCCAAAUUUUUAAUAAUAUUUUGGUGCCUUCUGUGAGCCAAUUUGUGCAUUUCCUAAUUUUUUAAUAAUAUUUUGGUGCCUUC
rnacentral:lncRNA from 1 species